rnacentral:rRNA from 1 species
AUGAGGAGGCCGGGGCCUGGGCGUGAGGCACAUAGGUUGCGCUCUGCUUCUUCCUCGAUCAACAAGAGGAGUAUGUGCAGUGCGGUGGUGUGGCGGACGGCCGCUCGUGCAGUGGCCUCAGUGGGUCGGCGACGGCACCUGCAGAGCUCGCACCGCCCUGGCGCCGAUCCAGCGCGGCUCCUGCACGUCGCCACCCCCUCCUCCCCAUCUCAGCGGGAGGUGAAUUUGUGCCGCUGCUGCCUCUUCCGCCAAGCAGGAGGAGCACGAGGUCUGCCAUCAACUUUCUGUUCAAGUGUAACAAUCAUUCUUGCAUCAAGGGAUGAGAAGAAUGUUUACAGGGUGCAAAUGCUUCAGAAAAUCUAUGCUGCUUACUGGAAAUCUGGAAUCAUGUUGCUCAAGUGUCAGGAUUAUGUACUAGACAUGAUGAAAUAA